ensembl:lncRNA
CAUCAUCCUAACCUCCAGAUUGAAGCUGUUCCUCCCUGAGGAUGUGUGCGUGUAAAUGGAGCAGCCUGCAGUGCUUUGUUAUGUCCACGGUAUCGAUAGAGGACAGUAGACAGACCGUACAUCACUCACAGUUCAGACAGUGACCAGCAAUGGACUGAGCCCACUAUGUGUGUGUGUUUGGACAGCGGUGAAGGACUGUGCUACAAAGCCAAAUAAGCCAAACCCGGCGAGAAAAACUUCACAGACGGAGUUGGAUCAGGCUGCUGCUUGAAGAACCUGCAGGUUCUGCUCUGACUGGCACCUCUACAUAUCAGGAAGCUGAAAGGUCAAUUCCUUUCUAUUUGAGAUGAGAGAAAAGAUAAAUGGGAGAAUUAGAUUCACCAUACCUGGGCAACAGAGAAAAAGACAGAGCGAGAGCAGCUGUUGCCAGGCAACCGCGGCUGGCAAACGAGGUGUGGAGAAGUGAAGGAAGGAACAGAGGCGCAGUAUUUUGGGGGAGGAGACGAAGGACUGGGAAGGAGAAGGAGAGAGAAAUGGGAGGAACGAACUUGGUGUCUCAGGCUCUGCUCUCUCCCUUCUCUCGUCCUACCUCGACGGCCGCACCUACCGAGUAACCUGGCGAGGAUCUGUGUCGGAACCUUGUCCUCUUACUACUGGAGUUCCUCAGGGUUCCGUCCUGGGUCCCCUCCUCUUCUCACUCAGAAGGCAGCGCAGGUACUUAUUCAGGCUCGUGUCAUCUCCCUCCUGGACUACUGUAACUCUCUCCUGCAGGUCUCCUGCUACCACCAUUCCACCUCUGCAGCUCAUCCAGAAUGCAGCAGCUCCACUGGUCUUUAACCUUCCUAAGUUCUCCCUCACUCCUCCACUCCUCCGCUCUCUUCACUGGUACCGGUGGCUUAUCCA